GCUAUUUUUUCCUUUUUUUAUUUAAAGUUAGUGCUAAUUCAAUUAACAAAUGGCACAAAAUAUACCGAAUUAACGUUACACUUUAGAAUACUGUUCCAAUUCCUUCCUAAUUUAUGCAUUAUGAACUCAUAUAGUAGUUCUCUUAGUAGUUAUCUGGGAGGUAUGAAAAACAUAGCAGUUAUUGAUUCGUUAUAGAACUACCACAUUCAACUGAGUGCUAUUACUAUUUCAUUAAUCAGAGUUCCUUGUUAGUUAAUAUUAGUAGAAUGUUAAUAGUGUGUUACUUAUUUGUUCCUGUGUAGUUAUUCAUUGAUGAUGGAAGAGUAUUCUAAAGUUUUACUAAAAAUAUUAUUAUAACACUUAACGGUCAGGGUACAUGAAUUAUCAUGAAUUCAUGUAUAAAUUCAUGCAUGCAUUAUGCAUUAAUAUCUCAUGAAUCAUCAGGAACUAGCCUAACACGAGUUCAACGUUUUUCAUUUACAACUUCAUGGAUGAACAACACCUUAAUUAAAACAUUAACUAAGAUCAUUACAUCAUCAUGAAAUAUGAUUUAUUAUGCAUUAUUAUGAUUCUUUGUUUACAGUUAUGCCACCAUAUUGUUCAUCAGUGUUUCAAAGGAACUAGUCAGCAUUUUAUUUGAGGGUCCACACACAUAAUGAAGUCAUUGAUAGAUAAUGCUUAGUUAGUGAUGACUACUGUUUUCAGUUACAGCACUUCCAGAAGAUAUUGUUUUCCCCCUGAGGACGCUCUUUGAGGUUGCUGCAAUGGAGCAGAAAUUGGCAGACCCCACCUUCCACAAACAAGUGGUUGGCGUGGUGGCAGAAAUUGGAGGAAGAACAUUGGAUGAAGCCACCAGAAGAAUGAUGGCCUUUCUUUUAGACCACUCCCUAUCAAGAGAGUACAAUUUUGUUGGCUGCCAUGGAAAGCGAGAGUUUCGGGGCUCAAACUGUUUGAGGUUGUAUAUGGAAGCUUGAAAAAAAAUGCCCUUACAAACCAGAUUACUAGAAGAGAUUCUGAAAAGGCAGUGUCAAAGUGGCUAAUUGGUGCCAGGGACAAGGGAGGAAACCGUACAGGGAGGGCACGUGGUGGAGAGCAAGAUGGGUAAAAGUCAUUAUCAUUAAAACUGCAGUUAAAAAGUGUUUAGCCUACUUAUAUUUGUGUAAAACACAACAUUGUGCUUUUGUCAAACUUUAAACUUUUGUAGGCUAACCUACAACUGUCACCCAACCAAAAUCACACACACACAGUUCAGUGGUUCUGGAGAUUUAUCUGAAUGACUCAUAAACAAAAAAUGUUGAAAAUGUGAAAAUAAAACAAAGUGGUUCUGAAAGUUUUUUUUUAGGAAGAAAAAUCUAUGAGCCAUAUCUCUUCGCACUUGCACCUCAAGACCCAAAGUAUAGAAUAGCUCUAGGUGUUCUUAUAAGACAUUUACUGUCAGAUGUGUGUCUGCUAUAUGUACUGACUGCAUAUGUGCAUCAUAGUUAUUUAUUUAUAUUAACAUAAAAUGUGGACAGUCUGAUUCAGCCAUGGCAAAGUAUUGUGGUCACUACCAAAACAUGCAGUCACUACCGUAAC